rnacentral:rRNA from 1 species
CCAAUAGCGUAUAUUAAAGUUGUUGCAGUUAAAAAGCUCGUAGUUGAAUUUCGGGAUUAGUGCGCUGGUCAUGCCUUUGGUAUGUACUGGUGUUACUGAUUUCUACCUUCUGAAGACCCGUUAUGUCAUUCAUUUGGUGUGGCGGGGAAUCAGGACUGUUACUUUGAAAAAAUUAGAGUGUUUAAAGCAGGCUAGCGCUUGAAUGCAUUAGCAUGGAAUAAUGAAAUAGGACGUUUGACCCUAUUUUGUUGGUUUCUAGGAUCGACGUAAUGAUUAAUAGGGAUAGUUGGGGGCAUUAGUAUUCAAUUGUCAGAGGUGAAAUUCUUGGAUUUAUUGAAGACUAACUACUGCGAAAGCAUUUGCCAAGGAUGUUUUCAUUAAUCAAGAACGAAAGUUAGGGGAUCGAAGACGAUCAGAUACCGUCGUAGUCUUAACCAUAAACUAUGCCGACUAGGGAUCGGAUGAUGUUAUUUUUAAUGACUCAUUCGGCGCCUUACG